CUGUACUUGGUGUUACUGCGAAGGGGGGACGGAGAAGGCUAUGUUGGCCGGGCGACGGUUGUCCCGGUUUAAGCGUGUAGGCUGGUUUUCCAGGCAAAUCCGGAAAAUCAAGGCUGAGGCGUGAUGACGAGGCACUACGGUGCUGAAGCAACAAAUGCCCUGCUUCCAGGAAAAGCCUCUAAGCAUCAGGUAACAUCAAAUCGUACCCCAAACCGACACAGGUGGUCAGGUAGAGAAUACCAAGGCGCUUGAGAGAACUCGGGUGAAGGAACUAGGCAAAAUGGUGCCGUAACUUCGGGAGAAGGCACGCUGAUAUGUAGGUGAAGCGACUUGCUCGUGGAGCUGAAAUCAGUCGAAGAUACCAGCUGGCUGCAACUGUUUAUUAAAAACACAGCACUGUGCAAACACGAAAGUGGACGUAUACGGUGUGACGCCUGCCCGGUGCCGGAAGGUUAAUUGAUGGGGUCAGCGCAAGCGAAGCUCUUGAUCGAAGCCCCGGUAAACGGCGGCCGUAACAAUAACGGUCCUAAGGUAGCGAAAUUCCUUGUCGGGUAAGUUCCGACCUGCACGAAUGGCGUAAUGAUGGCCAGGCUGUCUCCACCCGAGACUCAGUGAAAUUGAACUCGCUGUGAAGAUGCAGUGUACCCGCGGCAAGACGGAAAGACCCCGUGAACCUUUACUAUAGCUUGACACUGAACAUUGAGCCUUGAUGUGUAGGAUAGGUGGGAGGCUUUGAAGUGUGGACGCCAGUCUGCAUGGAGCCGACCUUGAAAUACCACCCUUUAAUGUUUGAUGUUCUAACGUGGACCCGUGAUCCGGGUUGCGGACAGUGUCUGGUGGGUAGUUUGACUGGGGCGGUCUCCUCCUAAAGAGUAACGGAGGAGCACGAAGGUUGGCUAAUCCUGGUCGGACAUCAGGAGGUUAGUGCAAUGGCAUAAGCCAGCUUGACUGCGAGCGUGACGGCGCGAGCAGGUGCGAAAGCAGGUCAUAGUGAUCCGGUGGUUCUGAAUGGAAGGGCCAUCGCUCAACGGAUAAAAGGUACUCCGGGGAUAACAGGCUGAUACCGCCCAAGAGUUCAUAUCGACGGCGGUGUUUGGCACCUCGAUGUCGGCUCAUCACAUCCUGGAGCUGAAGUAGGUCCCAAGGGUAUGGCUGUUCGCCAUUUAAAGUGGUACGCGAGCUGGGUUUAGAACGUCGUGAGACAGUUCGGUCCCUAUCUGCCGUGGGCGCUGGAGAACUGAGGGGGGCUGCUCCUAGUACGAGAGGACCGGAGUGGACGCAUCACUGGUGUUCGGGUUGUCAUGCCAAUGGCACUGCCCGGUAGCUAAAUGCGGAAGAGAUAAGUGCUGAAAGCAUCUAAGCACGAAACUUGCCCCGAGAUGAGUUCUCCCUGACUCCUUGAGAGUCCUGAAGGAACGUUGAUGACGACGACGUUGAUAGGCCGGGUGUGUAAGCGCAGCGAUGCGUUGAGCUAACCGGUACUAAUGAACCGUGAGGCUUAACCC
rnacentral:rRNA from 1 species